UUGAACUGAAGAGUUUGAUCAUGGCUCAGAUUGAACGCUGGCGGCAGGCCUAACACAUGCAAGUCGAGCGGUAGAGAGAAGCUUGCUUCUCUUGAGAGCGGCGGACGGGUGAGUAAUGCCUAGGAAUCUGCCUGGUAGUGGGGGAUAACGUUCGGAAAC
rnacentral:rRNA from 1 species